CUACAAGAAGCUCUACAGAGCAUUGGCCUUUUAAGCCAAAGGCGGGCACAUACAUGCCCCUUGUAGG
rnacentral:tRNA from 1 species